UUGAUGGCCAGUAUUCUAUCUGAUUGGCCAUGGAAAGAACAGUUGGAAAGCCAGAGGAAAAUCUAAGAGUGUGUCAAAGCAGAGUGCUCAUUAUAGGGAUAGAAAGCACAGGCUGUCUGUCCAGGUUGCCGUGGCUCAACAGAAUAAUGAGGACUUGUCUGGAUAGGUUUCUGUUGCAGAGGCUGCAGUUUGCAAAAAUGAUGUCCUUGGCAGGCCCAUCCCUCUGCCCCGUCUCAUCGACGGCCAUCCCGGCAUACACGAUAAGGCACCUCCUGAGUGUUCGACCUCGGGGCAGGGGAUCCCAGUACCUGCUUGACUGGGUUCCGGCCCUCAUCCUGGACACAGCCCUCAUCGUUGAAUUCCAUUGUCUGCUCCCAGGUCAACCAGGACAAUGACCCAAAACACCUCCAGGCUGUGUAAUGGCUAUUUUAACAAGAAGGAGAGUGAUGGAGUGCUGCAUCAGAUGACCUGGCCUCCACAAUCCCCCGACGUCAACCAAAUUGAGAUGGUUUGGGAUAAUUUGGACCGCAAAGUGAAGGAAAAGCCGUUAACAAGUGCUCAGCAUAUGUGGGAACUCCUUCAAGACUGUUGGAAAAGCAUUCCAGGUAAAGUUGGUUGAAAGAAUGUCAAGAGUGUGCAAAGCUGUCAUCAAGGCAAAGUAUGGCUAUUUGAAGAAUCUCAAAUAUAAAAUAUAUUUUGAUUAGUUUAGCACUGUUUUGGUUACUACAUGAUUCCAUGUGUUAUUUCAUAGUUUUGAUGUCUUCACUAAUAUUCUACAAUGUAGAAAAUAGUAAAAAUAAAGAAAAACCCUUGAAUGAGUAGGUGUUCUAAAACUUUUGACUGGUAGUGUAUAUGCAUAGUAUCUUGUGGUGUUUGUUGUAUGAGAGAGAAGCCUGUAAAUUCAAUUAGAUUACUUUUUCUAUUAUCCUAUUUUUGUCAACAACAAAAAAAUCUGAAAAUCUGUGUGGGCCUUCUGUAUUUCAAGGCUAUGCCUAAUGUACAUGUCCAAUGUCCUUCCGACAAAAUCCUUCUCAUCAAAGUUCCUUUGCAUGUCUUCAAACGUACACUCAGUGCCUGCAUUUGCUGUACACAAAAUCGAGCCCCUCCUUGAUCUACCAAGCUCAUGUUGGGCUAAAUUGUCACCACAAACAGAA